CCUACUCCUACAUUAUCUGCCACAGCCCUGUGCAGGAAUCCUUGCCACACUUCUUGCUCUCCUGCGACACAGGGGCCUAGGAUCAUGACUGCCCUGAGUACCAUUCUGUGAUGUUCCAUCACAUGCCAGGAAGCAGUUUGGAUUCCCCAACUGAGCAGAAUUCCUCUGUAAAUAUCUCAAAUACAUUUUCCUGGGAUUGACCUCUCCUUUCUUUUAAAAAAUAUUCAGUGAACACUACUUUGUGCCAGGAAACUCUGAGAAGUGAUCUUUAGGAAACGAUUUGCAGGUAGAAGUGACAGGGCCAGAUAAGGGAUGCAUGUGUAUAUGUGUGUGUUUAUUUAUGAAUCUGUAUGGAUCUAUGUGUUUGGGCUGCGGAAGAUGAAUGUACAAGAGGCAGGAUGACAUGUAGGACUCCUGUUUAAACAACUCAGCCAAUGAUGG
rnacentral:lncRNA from 10 species